rnacentral:rRNA from 1 species
AUUGAACGCUGGCGGCAUGCCUUACACAUGCAAGUCGAACGGCAGCACGGGAGCUUGCUCCUGGUGGCGAGUGGCGAACGGGUGAGUAAAGCAUCGGAACGUGCCCUGAAGUGGGGAUAACGUAGCGAAAGUUACGCUAAUACCGCAUAUUCUGUGAGCAGGAAAGCGGGGGAUCUUCGGACCUCGUGCUUUAGGAGCGGCCGAUGUCGGAUUAGCUAGUUGGUGAGGUAAAGGCUCACCAAGGCGACGAUCCGUAGCGGGUCUGAGAGGAUGAUCCGCCACACUGGGACUGAGACACGGCCCAGACUCCUACGGGAGGCAGCAGUGGGGAAUUUUGGACAAUGGGCGGAAGCCUGAUCCAGCCAUGCCGCGUGAGUGAAGAAGGCCUUCGGGUUGUAAAGCUCUUUCGGCGGGGAAGAAAUGGUGCUUUUUAAUACAGAGCGCUGAUGACGGUACCCGCAUAAGAAGCACCGGCUAACUACGUGCCAGCCGCCGCCGUAAUAC